rnacentral:tRNA from 1 species
CGUGGCCUGGUGGUUAAGACCUUGGGCUAAUAAACCCAAGGGUCGUAGGUUCGAGCCCG